UACGUAGGGUGCAAGCGUUGUCCGGAAUUAUUGGGCGUAAAGAGCUCGUAGGCGGUUUGUCGCGUCGAAUGUGAAAACCCGGGGCUCAACCCCGGGCCUGCAUUCGAUACGGGCAGACUAGAGUUCGGUAGGGGAGUCUGGAAUUCCUGGUGUAGCGGUGAAAUGCGCAGAUAUCAGGAGGAACACCAAUGGCGAAGGCAGCUCGCUGGGACGGUACUGACGCUGAGACGCGAAAGCGUGGGGGAGCAAACAGG
rnacentral:rRNA from 1 species